AAAUUGAAGAGUUUGAUCAUGGCUCAGAUUGAACGCUGGCGGCAGGCCUAACACAUGCAAGUCGAACGGUAACAGGAAGCAGCUUGCUGCUUUGCUGACGAGUGGCGGACGGGUGAGUAAUGUCUGGGAAACUGCCUGAUGGAGGGGGAUAACUACUGGAAACGGUGGCUAAUACCGCAUAACGUCGCAAGACCAAAGAGGGGGACCUUCGGGCCUCUUGCCAUCAGAUGUGCCCAGAUGGGAUUAGCUUGUUGGUGAGGUAACGGCUCACCAAGGCGACGAUCCCUAGCUGGUCUGAGAGGAUGACCAGCCACACUGGAACUGAGACACGGUCCAGACUCCUACGGGAGGCAGCAGUGGGGAAUAUUGCACAAUGGGCGCAAGCCUGAUGCAGCCAUGCCGCGUGUAUGAAGAAGGCCUUCGGGUUGUAAAGUACUUUCAGCGGGGAGGAAGGUGUUGUGGUUAA
rnacentral:rRNA from 1 species